rnacentral:rRNA from 1 species
AGAUUGAACGCUGGCGGCAUGCCUAACACAUGCAAGUCGAGCGGCAGCGCGGGGGCAACCCUGGCGGCGAGCGGCGGACGGGUGAGUAAGGCAUCGGAAUCUGCCCUGAUGUGGGGGAUAACGUAGGGAAACUUACGCUAGAUACCGCAUACGACCGAGAGGUAGAAAGGCGGGGACCGAAGGCCUCGCGCAGCAGGAUGAGCCGAUGUCCGAUUAGCUAGUUGGUGGGGUAACGGCCUACCAAGGCGACGAUCGGUAGCUGGUCUGAGAGGAUGAUCAGCCACACGUGGGACUGAGACACGGCCCAGACUCCGUACGGGAGCAGC